AGUUAUAUAAUGCAUUCUGAAAAGAGAGAAUUUAUUCUCAAGUAUGCAUUCCCUUUCAGAUUGAACAUUAGGUGAAGUCCCAUUUUAAACAACUACAUUGCUCUCUUUUAAGGCCUUAAUAAAAAACAAAUGUUCCCAAUAUGUUGUAUCAUUGCGUAUUUUGCUUUCUAUCACUUCCAGGUGUUCGAUAACAAAUCCUGCAUCUCUCAGAGCCUCUUCUACAGACGUUUUAUCAGAUGUUAAUAUGUGAUAUUUGCUCCCACCUAUGGUGCAAUAUGUUCCAUUAAAUAAUCCAAAUAGCAGCAGAUGCCCACCAAGUUUUAGCAAGCAUGAAACUUUUUUCAGGUUCCGGCAGUAUUCGUCUAGAUCUUC